CAUCCUGUGCAACCGCACGAAAAUCGCUUUUAAGCAGCUUUCGUAGCUCACGAUUUAGGCGAGUCUUCACGGAGGA
rfam:Streptococcus mutans TA159, complete genome.